GAACAAAUUAAAAGCAGGGCAACUGGAAAGUUACUAAAGAACAAACAAAACUUGCCAAGUUUUGGGCUUUGUGAAUGAAUUGUUUUGAGCUGAGAACAAAUUUUACUUUUAAGUUUUAAGUCAAGCCACCAAACAGUGACCAUAUUUCUUUUGCUUAUGAAGAUGUGAAAUCCAAGUGUCUACAAAGUGUACAAACAAAUGAACAAGAAAGGAAUUAUACCAAGUUCAAUUAGUUCUUGUUUUUUUGUAAUUGAUAUAAUUUCUUUUUCUUUGAUAUUUGUGUAAUAUGGUUAAUUAAGGAGGGCAAAUAUAUGUUCAAUUAGUAGUGAUAGAAACCAGCUUGUCAGUGUACAGUCUCUUCUGCAGGAAGUGUAGUGGCACUGCAGAACUCCAAUUUGAACUUGUAGAGACACUAUAUGGCUGUCUAGGAUUGCUUCUAUUUAAUGUUCCUUUGUUUUAUCUAUUUAUUUUUGUUUUUAUUUAAGUGCUAUUGCAAGAAAUUUGUAAACAUUGCCCCAGUGUGGUUUGUAAAAAACAAAAAAAAUAUCAGCAAAUCUGGAAUCUAAUGAUUCUCCAAGGGUGGUGUUUACUCAUUUCAUUUGUUUUACAUUUUGGGUAUAUACCUAUAUUUUAGUUCACAUUAUUUUAAGCAACAAACAAUAUGGCAAGAUAAAAAAAUCUACAAAUGUGCAUGUUCAUUAUUAUCAUGUCACUUGGUUUCAUAAUCAUCAAAGAUGCAAAUAAACAAAUAUAUAAAAUUU
rnacentral:misc_RNA from 1 species